AAAAUCGCUAUUUUUUUUAACUCUCUCACUCUUUUACUGAUACAUCACUUUUACCUUAUAUCAGUUACCUAAAUUCACGCCUAUUCUUCAGCCUCCUCGAUGACAGUUUCUUUUUUUUCAAUUUCAGUCCAUCUAUUACUCAAUUUCAAGCAUCUAAGUAAGUGUUGGUCUCACUCAGUUGAAUAAAAAUCAAGAAAUUCUUGUUUCACCGGACGAGGUUAGAUCCAAACAUCGUAACGAUCCAUCAGUGAUGGAUAAGCUCCGUGAGAAAUUGAAGUCGAAAUCUCAAGUUCAACAUUCACUCAAAGAAGCCGACAAGAAGAUUGAAGGGGUUUCAACACGCCCUAAUCUCCCAAAGGGAAUGAAGUACGUCAUCAAGAAGAUCCCAUCACAUUCCCUAAGAUUUGGCACUGCAUAUACGACUAAUUUUAUUGAUGAUUUCAAAUCAUCAAUAGGUGAUGAAGCUAUACAAUUAUUUCGACAAAUCAUAUUUGGUCACUAUCUAGAUAUGCCACAGUGCAAUUUUCAAGGACAAAUCAUCAAAUGCCGCUUACUUCUUGAGGUCGAGCAAAAAAACAGAGAGGAAUUGCAUACCUCCUGGUCAAGGAGAAUCGAUGGACGUCGAGUAGUUUUUUUUUAAUUUUACAGUAAUAGAAUGUAUAAUUAUG